GAUAAGGUGGCUGAGGCUAGGCGGUAGAUUGUAAAUCUAUUAACGGGGAGAUACCUCCUUUAUCAUA
rnacentral:tRNA from 1 species